rnacentral:tRNA from 1 species
GCCCUUGUAGCUCAGUGGAUAGAGUGCCGCGCUACGAACGCGGAGGCCCAGGUUCGAGUCCUGGCAGGGGUA